CCUGUUUUCUGCUGUGCGGAGCAUGGCCCUUUCCUAAUCCGAAAGAGCCGCACAGUCCCUUCCAGUGCUGCCUGUGGUCUCGCCCAGCUGGCUGUGCUAUUGCGGGACAUGGGGCCCAGCCUCCUGCUCCUUCAGAGGCCUGGGGUGAAGUAGUACUGGCUGUCACUCCAUUGCCUUCUUGGUGCCUGUGGCCACUGUUGAGCUGCAAUGGCCCCAAGCCUGAAAUAUUCACCAUCUUCCUGCCCAGAAGCAGUCGCCACCCUCUGUUCUGGAUGAAAAGACCCCAAAGAAACAACCAAAUGCAGCCUAGGAACCUGGAUUAGAGUCCAGGUUGAAACAGCAACUAUCUCAGUGUUUCUGGGACAGCUGGGGAAAUGCAAAUUCCUUAGAUUUCUAUUGACUUUUCUUGUCGUCCUGUGCUGGCAUCUCCAACAAGCAUGGGACUGAGGUGAUGAAGGCAUGUUGGCGACAGAGGGUCCUCACCAAAGGGAAACCUUCCUUGUUACACUGCUAAGUGAAGUGGUUGUUGUGGGUUUUUUUUUUUUUUUAAUGUUUUUUAUCAAGUUGAGAAAAUUCCCCUCCAUUUCGCAUUUGCCAGGAGGUUCUGGUUUUUGUUUUUAAUCACAAUCAUGAUUGGAUGUUGCCAGUUACAGUGAACUUGUGGCUUUCCCCUUUUGAUUUGUUAAUAUCAUGUUAAAAAGUCCCUGCAUUCCUGGAAUAAACCCAAUUUAGCCAUGAUCUUUUUCAUAAAUUACUGGAUUAGUUAACUAAUACAGGCACACCUUGGUGAUAUUGUGGGUUCCGUUCCGGACUUCGGCAAUAAAAUAAAUAUCACGAUAAAGUGAGGCACACACAUUUUUUGAUUUCCCAGUGCAUACAGAAGUUAGGUUUAUGCUGUGUACAGCCAUGCCACCCUGAACGUGCCUGAUCUCAUCAGAAGUUAUGUUUCUGCUAUACUGUAGUCUGUUAAGUGUGCAAUAGCAUUGUGUCUAAAAAAAACAGUGUGCA
rnacentral:lncRNA from 10 species